ensembl:lncRNA
GGGUAAGGUGAGCCAGCUGAAGCUGAACUGGGGGUUGUGAUUGGUGAUAGCUUGCCUUGAUGGAAAGGUGUUUCCUGUUAAGUGCAGGUUGAUUUAGGGUUGAAACUCCUGGCUUGAGCUGGGCCUUGGGUCAGCCUCCAUUCUGUGAGUCCAGAUCCAUGAACUAACUUUAUCAUUAUUUAAGCAGGGUGGGGUUUCCCAAGUGGCACUAGGGGUAAAGAAUCCGCCUGCUAAUGCAGGAGACAUAAGAGACCAGAGAUAUUAAGAGAAGCAGGUUCGAUCCCUGGGCUGGAAAGAUCCCCUGGAGGAAGACAUGGCAACCCACUCCAGUAUUCUUGCCUGGAUAAUUCCAUGGACAGAGGAGACUGGCAGGCUAUGGUCCAUAGGAUCACAAAGAGCAGGACACAACUGAAGUGACUUAGCACACAUGCACAAGCAGGACAUUUAAAAAUAUUUAUUAUUUGUUUGGCUGUCUCGAGUCUUAGUUGCGGCAUGCGGGAUCUUCAUGCGUGGCCCGCAGACUCUCUAGUUGUGGCUCACGGGCUCAGUUGCUCUAAGGCAUUUGGGAUCUUAGUUGCCAGACCAAGGAUUUAACCAGUGACCCUUGCAUUGCAAGGCAAAUUUUUACCUACUGGACCAGGAAGUCCCAAGCAGGGCAUCUCUUAGACCUGCAGUUCAAGGCUAGAGCAAAUGAGACUCAGGGGGACUAGGACUAAAGAGAUCUCCAUCCUACCAGGAGAUCACAGGUCAGUGCCUCAGACUCGUGCAGGAGUGGCUUUCUGCCUGCCUGGCUAAAACCUCUUGCUUUUAUACAGAAACAAUGGCUUUGAGCAAUGCUCAUAUCUCUUAGAUCUCCCUUCCUCUGUAACUGACCAGAGUCUAUGGGAUCAAUUAGGUUGAAGGCAAAGGCCUUCAACUUGUGGGGCUUUUGAAUUCCCACAGCAACUCUGUAAACACCAAGUGAAACCCUCAUCAUGACCGGAAGAUCCAAGCAACAGUUCCUUUCCUGGGUCCCAGGAGCCCACAUUGGGGAAGGCAAUGGAAUGAACAAAGGGGUCAUUGAGCCUAACAGCAAUGGGGAGGAAACUGAGAGCUCGGACGCCCCACAGCAGUUAAAAAGGCAAGACAGAAAUGAAGACAGAGUGGGUCUGCAUCCCACCUGGGCCACCAUAGUUGUGAUCUGGGGCCUAGAGGCUGGAACAAGAGCGAGGGCCUGGCAUCCACGCCACAUCAUUCAGGGGCCUUCCAGCACCAGCACCUGAUCCAGCCCAGCAGAGCGGCUCUCCCUGAUAUUUUGGAAGCAAUCAUAUAUUUUUAAUGACCUGCAAAAUCUCCCUGUGAGAAGGGAGGGAGAGUUGAAAUUACAGCCAAGCAAUUUGCAUUGCGAAUAAGUUAUCCUGCCUCCUGCUCUCCAAGAAUAUGCAGAAAUAAAUGCCUCCUAAUGAACCCUGGGGGGCUGAGGCUUUGAUAUGAAUUCUGCUGCAGGGGUAAAGAGUUCUAGCCAGACUGAAACUCAGCGUGAAGUUGGAGCAGGAGGGCUGGGGCAGUCCCCUUCAGAGCGAGGGAAAAAGGAAAUUGGAUUAUCUUGCUAGCAGUUGGUGUUUUUCUAUCUCUUAGAACCACAGAUUAGUGCUCCCCUCCUUCAGAUGGUUGGGGAGGGUGGGGAGAGAUUCCAUUUAGCCCUAUUUCUCCAGCCGGCUGCUCACCUGCUUGUAACCCUUCCACCCUGGCCACUGUCAAGCUCCUUCUAGAUUCCCUGGACAUACAGAGACCAGGAGCUCCAAAGAUUUUGCCUUUUCCAGAACUAAAAAAGACCUAUUAAACACAGAUGGGCUUCCCUGGUGGCUCAGACAGUAAAGAAACUGCUGCAAUGUAGAAGACACAGGUUCCAUCCCUGGGUCAGGAAGAUCGCCUGGACAAGGGAAUGGCUACCCAUUCCAGUAUUCUUGCCUGGAGAAUUCCAUGGACACAGGAGCCUGGUGGGCUGCAGUCCAUGGCGUCGCAAAGAGUUGGACACAACUGAGUGACUUUCACUUUCUUUUUCAUUAAACAUAGAUAGAUGGAUGGAUAGAUAGAUAGAUGAUAAACAAUCUUUCUAUCUAAAGU